rnacentral:rRNA from 1 species
CGUAGGGUGCGAGCGUUGUCCGGAAUUAUUGGGCGUAAAGGGCUCGUAGGCGGUUUGUCGCGUCGGGAGUGAAAACGCCGUGCUUAACACGGCGCUUGCUUUCGAUACGGGCAGACUAGAGGUAUGCAGGGGAGAACGGAAUUCCUGGUGUAGCGGUGAAAUGCGCAGAUAUCAGGAGGAACACCGGUGGCGAAGGCGGUUCUCUGGGCAUUACCUGACGCUGAGGAGCGAAAGUGUGGGGAGCGAACAGGAUU